rnacentral:lncRNA from 1 species
AAGAGCAAAGAAACUAAUUAAAUUCAACGCGUGUCCCACACGUUAAAAUGCUCAAUGAAAUAAAUAACUUCAAUGAUUAUCAUCUUUCAAAAACCAGAUAAUAUGCAAAUCAGUAUGAAACCUCAAAUCCGGAAAUCAUAAAGAAAAUCCAAACUCAAAUCUCAAAUUAUCAAUCCGAGCUCAAAUCCAUAAAUUAUGACCAACAUUUAAUCCAUGCAUCAAUCUCAAAUAAGUUCCAAGAUCAUUUCAUAUACCGAAGUUAUAAUAUAUGCUCGGAAAAUAAAAUACUAAAUUAUAAAAUCUUGCAUGCAUAUUAAUUAAAAACCAAAAUGUCCACUCACAGAUUUAGGCCUAAGGCUGACGAAUUCCAAAUCACUACUCAAGCGAGGUUCCCUUCGUAUCCUGGCACAAUAAAUAUGCUUAGGACCAAACUUAAAUUCUAGAAAAUUAAACAUUUGAAAAUAAACACCAAAAUCUCUUCCGCUUAACCCACUACUCUAACUAGGGUUAAGCUCACCGGAUUUCCACCAAACUCCACCAUAACCUUAAUUCCUCAAUUCUAACAUUUUAAAAUAAAUAUCAAGGAAAUCCAACGGCCGGAUUUUCAUUCUAAUAACCGGCAAAAACCUUAAUCUUUUAAAAUCCCAAACCUUAACAAAACUCCUCCAAAAAUUCCAAACUAUACUUCAUUAGACUCCUCUCAUUAAAACAAACCCAAAAACCUGAAAAUCAACCUCCAAGUGGCGGCGCCGCCGCCUGCUCCGCCGGCAGCGGCGGCCGUACUCUGGCGAUGUCCAAUACCUCCCAAAAUUUAACAGAAUAAUCCUCUCAUCAAGCACAACAACUUUCAUAACUAGCAUUUAGUCCAAUUCUAAGCUUAACUAGGGUAAUCGAAUCAAAACAUCC